CACAGAAUAGUUUCUUUCUUUCUCCUCCUCCUCGUUGCUAGAUGUAGAUGUAGUUUCCGUUCCAUCUCUUCUAGCCCCAUAGAUGUGGCCUAUUGUCUACCAAGUUCUUGCCAGCAUAUCCUCCAUGGAUGGUCGUGCUCUUUGUUCUUGGUUUCCGCUUGUGAACCACAGCACAUAUCUUGUUUUGCUUGGUUUUCUUUGAUCUGUGUGGUUUGUUUUGGAUUUGGUUUUGAGGUGGAGCUCCUAUCAUUCCAAUGAAGGGUCUACCGAAGGGUUUGUGCAGCUGCUUGUUCAUGGUUCCCACUAUCCUAUCUCCAUUGAAAACGAGGAGAUAGGCUUGUGGUUUGCAUGACCGAGGAGCCGCUUCGAUCCCUGGCUGACCGCUGUUUGGAUUGAAGGGAGCUCUGCAUCUUGAUCUACUGUCACUUAGUUUUAUCUGCUGCCUAUUGAACGCUAGCUGCUGCAAAUCUUGAAAAUGCUCCACAGUCCAGAUCUGAAUGGAAGCUAUUUCUUCCUCUCCAGAUCUCUCCAGGAGCUUGGUUUUAUUGGGUAUUUGCUACUAUGAUUCGAGGAGACUUUUGUAUUUUCUAGAGUUUUAUUUGAAGCCAAGAUUUGUAAAGUCUUGGUAUUUUGUUUUUCUCCCAAGUUAAUGCAUAAAAAAUUCAGGUUGGGCUUAUGUACUUUGCACGCACCUUUAUUCCCUUACUUUUCGGCCGUGGUGUCACUGUUGCCUUGUCUUCAUCCAUUCCCUCCCUGUCGUCUGUUCUACAGGACUGGUCUCCAUUUGUGGCGGGGCUCGUAGAUCUCACCAUGGAUGCAUUUAUCCUGUCCUCCUACUUGUGGCCACAUGAUUUUUCAUAGUAGAUUUGCACCAGAUUCGUUUCUGCUUGGAUCUAGGCGCUGAGCGCAGCACAUGGUUGCCAUUACUUUUGCUGUCUCUGCCCCAUGCGCUCAUCUUGUGCUUCUGGUGAUGUCACCCUUAUUCCAUUCGAUGUAUCUGGGAUGAGGGAUUUGCCAUAGGUCCUACAUCAGGACGGUGAUUGAUCCUUUUUGCUUCGGCGAAAGCUUUGAGGUGUUGAUGCUCUAGCAAUGUUGAAGCUCUAGCUGCUAGGCUAUAUCUCGUGUUGUCAUUGUGCUUAAGGUGUAAAUCUUGCAUCGUGUGUUGCAGCCUCAGCCUGUAUUUGAGCAUAAUGGUUUCUUUUAUAAACUGUGUAACACACCUGGUCGGUUGAGCACUGCUGCAACUAGAUUUGGACUAGGUCUUAGUAGCUGCCUUUGUAUCUUGUCUUAACUUCGUUCAUAUGUUUGAAUGGCAAAAUAUGUGUUGUACCUAACCUGGAUCUGUGAACAAAAUGUUUGUUUUUUUGUUAACUGUGUAUGUUAGCACUGCUGAAACUAGAUUUUGCUCUUUGCUUA